rnacentral:lncRNA from 1 species
CAACUUGGAAAGUGAGCUGAAGAGGCAAAAAAGAAACAAGAAAUGGAUAUCUAGAGCUCUCAGAGGAUGCCUCAGGCAAUCAGACUCUCUCGAGCUCUCUAGCUGGCUCCUGGUUCCAUAAGACCAGACUAUUUGAUCUACCUUGUUUCAUCAUACGUUCUCAAUCAUUGGCUUUAAGAAGCCAUCUCAAAUGCACACUGAGGCUUCAAAGGAACUGUCAGCAGCCUGCGAGUUUUCCUUCCACAAGGGACAGAGGAGACAUUGAAACAUUCAGUCAACAGUGUUUGCCACUCAUGUAAUCCGUUCCAAAGAUGGCAGCAGUCUAUUAGGAAAAAAUCACUCAUCAGGAUAAAAAUGCCUGGUCUCUCCGAAUAGUCUCCCCUCCUCCGCUUCCUUCCCAGGAUAGUUCCCCGAUGGUCUGGGGAUAGAGAAAACCCGUGGAGUCCUCCUGGCAGUGGUGGGAGUGUGGGCUGCCUUCUAUGCUGGCCCCUGCAGGGUGUGGCCUGACGACCCCGGUCUCUGGGUCAGUGCCCCUCAAGGACGACUGGUCUCGACUGGACUCUUGGCGAAUGACAGCUCCUCCUGCUGCCAACAUCCAAGCUCAUCUGUGCCUCCAGCCAUGAAGAUCACUGCCCAUGGCAGUCUCCUCUUGCCAGCUCAGUCCUCAGCCAGCUCAUGGUCCUCUCAGCAGCUCUGUGUCUGCUCUGGGGGUGGGCCUGGGCCUUUUUCCCCCACCGUAUGCUCUGCACCUGUCAUGGCCACCAGCAUAGAAGUGAAUGAAUCCUUCAAAAUUCAGCUGAAAUAUUGAACUCUUCGCCAAUGUGUCCACCGUUUCCUCCUACUGCUUCCUCUGUGCUCUGGUAAGAAGAUCAUCUUGCUGCUACACGGAGCAUUUUUUGGCUUCUAUUCCAGCCCCUGCAUGCAUCUCAUCUCUCCUACGUUAUCAAUCCCACCUCUCCCCCACUGCCCAGGUGGGGGCUUCCCAAGGCCACCCUCAGAUCCUUGCCAUGUACAUGUUACGCUCAAUAAAUAUUAAAAUUAGUUGAAGUUGUGUUCUGUCUAAUUAACU